GACGAACGCUGGCGGCGUGCCUAAUACAUGCAAGUAGGACGCACAGUUUAUACCGUAGCUUGCUACACCAUAGACUGUGAGUUGCGAACGGGUGAGUAACGCGUAGGUAACCUGCCUAUUAGAGGGGGAUAACUAUUGGAAACGAUAGCUAAUACCGCAUAACAGUAUGUAACACAUGUUAGAUGCUUGAAAGAUGCAAUUGCAUCGCUAGUAGAUGGACCUGCGUUGUAUUAGCUAGUAGGUAGGGUAAUGGCCUACCUAGGCGACGAUACAUAGCCGACCUGAGAGGGUGAUCGGCCACACUGGGACUGAGACACGGCCCAGACUCCUACGGGAGGCAGCAGUAGGGAAUCUUCGGCAAUGGGGGGAACCCUGACCGAGCAACGCCGCGUGAGUGAAGAAGGUUUUCGGAUCGUAAAGCUCUGUUGUUAAGGAAGAACGAGUGUGAGAAUGGAAAGUUCAUACUGUGACGGACUAA
rnacentral:rRNA from 1 species